GACGACGCUGGCGGCGUGGAUUAGGCAUGCAAGUCGGACGGUAGGGCUUUAUCGUAAGAUAGAGUUUGAGAGUGGCGAACGGGUGAGUAACACGUAGGAAUCUACCCUUAAGACGGGGACAACCCAGGGAAACUUGGGCUAAUACCGGAUGAGAGUGCGAGAGAUUGCAUUUAAAAGGAUGGCGAAAGUUGUCGCUUAGGGAUGAGCCUGCGGUCUAUUAGUUAGUUGGUGAGGUAAGAGCUCACCAAGGCGAUGAUAGAUAGGCGGCCUUAACGGGUGGUCGCCCACACUGGGAUUGAGAUACGGUCCAGACUCCUACGGGAGGCAGCAGUAGGGAAUAUUGGACAAUGGGCGCAAGCCUGAUCCAGCCAUGCCGCGUGAGUGAAGAAGGCCCUCGGGUUGUAAAGCUCUUUUGUUGGGGAAGAAAAGCAGUUGGUUAAUACCCGAUUGUUCUGACGGUACCCAAAGAAUAAGCACCGGCUAACUUCGUG
rnacentral:rRNA from 1 species